UACGGAGGGUGCGAGCGUUGUCCGGAAUCACUGGGCGUAAAGCGCGCGCAGGCGGUCGCGUAAGUCUGCUGUGAAAUCUCCCUGGCUCAACCGGGAGGGGGCGGCGGAGACUGCGGGACUGGAGGGACCUAGAGGCCGGUGGAAUUCCCGGUGUAGUGGUGAAAUGCGUAGAGAUCGGGAGGAACACCUGUGGCGAAGGCGGCCGGCUGGGGGAUGCCCUGACGCUGAGGGCGGCGAAAAGCGUGGGGGAGCGAACCGGG
rnacentral:rRNA from 1 species